rnacentral:rRNA from 1 species
AACGAACGCUGGCGGCAUGCCUAACACAUGCAAGUCGAACGAUGCUUUCGGGCAUAGUGGCGCACGGGUGCGUAACGCGUGGGAAUCUGCCCUUGGGUUCGGAAUAACAGUGAGAAAUUGCUGCUAAUACCGGAUGAUGUCUUCUGACCAAAGAUUUAUCGCCCAGGGAUGAGCCCGCGUAGGAUUAGCUAGUUGGUGGGGUAAUGGCCUACCAAGGCGACGAUCCUUAGCUGGUCUGAGAGGAUGAUCAGCCACACUGGGACUGAGACACGGCCCAGACUCCUACGGGAGGCAGCAGUGGGGAAUAUUGGACAAUGGGCGCAAGCCUGAUCCAGCAAUGCCGCGUGAGUGAUGAAGGCCUUAGGGUUGUAAAGCUCUUUUACCCGGGAUGAUAAUGACAGUACCGGGAGAAUAAGCUCCGGCUAACUCCGUG